UCUGGUUUGCUGAUACACAUAUCAAUAAUUAAUAAUUUCUUAUUGCCUAUAAUAGGCCUAGAAACAGGCUGCAGGAACUAGGUAGGCUACAAGGAAAUGCCUGUUUGGGGUUCUUGUUCCUGUAUGCAAGUUCCUGUCUGACUUCAAAGUCACCAUAGACGGAGUGGUGGAGCUUGAGACUCUGCACGUGCAUAGCUUAUUGAGUGUGUGUCUAGUGAGUGACCUUUCGGUUCCACUUCUGGUAAGACCUCCACCCUCCACGGACUCGUACCCGCAUGCAACCAGUAGCGCCCCCUAGUGGCGGGGAAGACCUACCGGCUAAUUUUGUAUUUUUUGGGAUCCUGUGGGUUUUUCUAUUGUGUUUUUAUUAUUGUAAAAAAUAAACUGGAUGCUUUUAUUGAA